rnacentral:lncRNA from 1 species
UGGGGUCAUAUUGAUCAACAAUUUCGGUUCUUCUAUAUUUGUGACUUUCAAAUAUGAUCAUGUGAGCAUUCCUGUUGAAUCAAGAAAAGCUCUUUUGACAUGAAAUUUAUUAUAGUGUUUAAUCGGUUAUAAGCAACGGAUGUGCAUACAUAUUAUUCUGACUGUUUAGAGUAUAGAAUGCUAUUUAUUUGGACUUACACA